CGGGCUGUGGCGCAGUUUGGUAGCGCACUACGCUGGGGGUGUAGGGGUCGCUGGUUCAAAUCCAGUCAGCCCGA
rnacentral:tRNA from 1 species